AUUUAUAUAGUAUAAUAAGUAUUAUUGACUUCCAAUCAAAAGGUCUAAUAUAAUUAGUAUAAAUA
rnacentral:tRNA from 1 species